UUAACCUUGAACUGUCUUUAAGUCCUUCCCAGUCAGCGCUGGGGGACAGAGCCCCCUGCUGGAGGUUCUGGGCACCCGGAUUUCCACUGGGACCGCAAGGUCCCUCCCAGUCGCUGGGAGACAAGGAAUCUAACAGCGAAAAAACAGACGGGAUGCUUUGGACUGACAACAAAUAUUCACCACCCUGAAACUGCACUUGAUUCCUUCACACGGGAAGCUUCUGGAAGCUGUAAGGGUGACAGGUAUCAAAAAAGAAGGAAGACUGCCCCCAGGCCGGGAGGGUCUGUUGGUGUGCUGCUCUUGUUCCAUGAAAUCCAGUGCAUUCCAUAGAAAUUCUAGAAGUCUUCACAUGGCUAGCUCCUCCCUGCUGCUUCUGAAUUGGUUUCCCAGACAAACUAUUUGGGACAUAUUGUCACUGAAACAUUAUUCACUGUUUAUCUGAAGUUCAAAUUCGACUUUCUAUCCUCUGGCCACUCUAAUUCCUAGUGACUUAGAUUCUGAGCACAAAAUGAACUGGAACAAACAAACGAACAAAAUGACUUUCAUUCUACAUGGAAGAAAUGUAUACUCAACAAACUUAAUUCUUUGUGCAUCGACACUGCCGUGGAUUCAUACAUCCCCCUGGAAGAUACCAGGGACUUACUCUGGAAACGUACAACAGGGCGCCUCAGGAAGUUUGUGGGAAAAUAGAAGUAAAAGGGAAAACGACACGCCGUUGUCAUUUCGUCGUAAAGCACAAAACACGUUCCUGUGUUGAAGUCUGCAUCUACUUUCAUCUGUUUCAGUCAGCUAAGCGGUGGAGGAGCUAAAAUCCAUUAAGAGAACGGACCCUUUUCAUUGUGCUGUUUUCUCCUCAGGUAACUCGUAUGGAGGGCUCUAUGGGAAACACUGUUCAGUUACAGUGAGGCCAUUAGACAGUCUCAGAAUCUAGGAGCCGAGAGUCGGAAACAGAAAUGGGACCCAUGCCACUCAGGUUCACAUACGUGUGUGCGCGUGUGUGUGUGUCAGUUUACAUAUUUACACACAAACACACCCACCCACAUCAAUACAUACAAGCAGACUCCAGAAAGGUCAAGAACAAAUACAUUUAGAAGAUCAGUUCAUUUUGAUGCAAGAAAACUUGAAAUCCCUGCAUUGUUCUCUCAUUUUCUCUAAUUUGGAAGUCCCCUCACAUAUACACAUUUACAAAUCUAUGCAUAUGUCUAUAUGUGUUUAUACAUGUUCUAUAUACAUAUUCAAAUGUCUUUAAAAACAUUAUUUUUUUAAUUAUGUUAUUUUCUAAGUGUAAAAUACUGAUUGGCCAGAUCUUGGGUCAUUUUCUGGUGCUGCCUUUUUUUUUUUCCCUUAGGUGCAAUUAGACUAACAAGAAACUCACUUCCUUCCCUACCCCUAAAGUGGCAUCAGCACUGUGUGCAGGGACACCACACGGUUCACCCAGAGUUCUUUGUAGCAAUCACGGUGCGCAGUAUCAGACCCUUGAAUAAAGUGCGUGCUGGGAAAUUAGGAGCGACGUGAGCGUCGGGCCUCGUGUCACUGUGGCUUUGGGGUUCAAGUGUUGUCUUGUGGUGGCCCCAGCGGACAGACGAACCCAGCGUGCAGCAUUCCAUGCAGCGUCUGGUAUUUAGAAUCUUCCUGACGCAGGAAAAGAAGGGAGGGAGCUCGUCUUCCACGAUAGCAACUGCUUCUGUCUGCCCCGCCCUGUGCAGCAGCUCCGGGGCUGCCCACUGGCUGUGCACUGACUGGUGGCAGCUAUUUGUGGGUUGAAAAGUGGCUUUCCUCGGGCAGUAAUUAGCAUGGAGCAAGCACGAAAUAGAGUGUCUUUCCCCGUUGGACCAAUCUUACUGCUUAUCAAAAGCAGACAGCGUUCACUCUCACUGUCCUCUUAUUUUUCUUCCAUUUCACUUAAAAAAUUAGAAUAAAAAUGUUUAAAAAUUAGAAAAAAAAAGAACACAGUUGGAUUAGAUAGAAGGAUGAGCUAAUGCAAUUUAGGCUCUGCCACUGAGCUACUUCAGCACACUUGAUGUUGAUAAAUAUUCCGAGAGGGUAUAUUUGGCUUGGUUAGUUAUAAAUAACUAUACAGCUACUGAGAAGUGAAAUAUGAUUUUGAAUGUUUCUAAACAAAAGCCUUGUGUCAUAAUUUACUAAAACUGUGUGAUCACAUCCUAUAGAAUCUGAUGCAAUGGAAUUAAUCUUGAUGAUUUUAAAGUCUAUCCCUAAGUAGUAGAAGAUGGCCCAAGUCCUUGGGCCCCUGCACCCACUUGGAGACCUGGAAGAAGCUCCAGGCUCCUGGCUUCAAAUCAGCCCAGGUCUGGCCAUUGCAGCCAUUUGGGGAAUGAACCAGCAGAUGGAGGACCUCUCUCUUGCUCUAUCUUUGCCUUUCUGUAACUCUGCCUUUCAAAUAAGUAAGUAAAUCUUAAAAAAAAAAUAAAGUCUAUCCCUCUGGGUGUUAUGUACCAUGUUGGUCAAGGAAAUAUUUUUAUAAUUGGCACUUAAUAAUUUUUCAACACUGUCAGGGUAUAUUUUAAUUCCUUUACUGAUUUCUAAUUGCUCUGAAAAAUAUGUUAUGCUUGAGAGUAUAGUGUGUAGUUCUUUACUGCAUAAAAAUUUAAAAAUAUGCUUUGGCUAAAUCAUGAAUCACAUAUUAGGAGUAACAAUGGGUAUUUUUGCUUUAGAUUUCCCCACAUGCUAUUUGCAAUUGUUUACAUAUGUUAGAAUCCCUUGCAUUUAAAUAGCUCAUUAUGCAAAUGUUUAAGAAAUAGUUGGUUAUUUAUUUUCAUGGAAACUUCCACUCAAAAACUGAAUUGAGAUGAUACCUUAACGUUGACUGUAAUAUUUUAUGUUCAGUAAUAGCACAUAAAUAUUAAUAUCUAAAUCAAAUCAUAUUGAACUUUUGAAAGAAAAAAUAAUUGCUCGUGUUUUGAGAGAGAUGAUUACCAUAUUCUGUGAGCCCUCAGAAGGUAACAGGCCGUGGUCUUGCCUAUUGGCUGGCCAGGAGAGUGCCCAUGAUGGAACUUUGGCAGCAAAGAAGUUAGUAGUUGUGACUAUUUGGGCUGUAUUUUAUGUUUUGUGCCAUUCUCAUUUUGGGCAUAGGUUUUGAUUGGCUAGAAUUCCCAAGAGCCAACAGUAGCCUGGGAAGCCAAGUCUAGUAUCUUUGGCAUGCAGGCUGUUUCUAGUUCGGAUGUCAGUUGCUCACUCUGAGUUGCCCACUUCCAGUUUGGACCUAUUGACUGGCCCUGCCUCAGAAUGACGUCAGCUCUGUGAAGUGCAGCCACUGACUCAGAACCAGAUGUGGGGUUAGAAUUGCUGCACACAGACCAAAAGCUUGUGGGUCAAGUGUAGGACUUAGAUCCAGGAAGCCAGAGUUCUUGUUGAUAAACUUAACUCCACUUAACCUCUUUGAGCCUUGGCUCUCUUAGCAAUAGAACAAGGGUGUCCAGAGUUUAUUUAAGCCCUGAUCUAUCUUUCUUUCUUUCUUUUAAAGAUUUAUGUAUUUAUCUGAAAGUCAGAGUUAGAGAGAGAGAGAGGGAAAGAGAGAAAGGUCUUCCAUCUACUGGCUUAUUCUCCAGAUGGCUGCUACAGCCAGGGCUGGGCCAUGUUGAAUUAAGGAGCCAGGAGCCAAGAGCUUUAUCUGGGUCUCCCAUAUGGGUGUCAAGGGCCCAACCAUUUGGGCCAUCUUCUGCUUCUUUUCUCAGGGCGUUAGAAGGGAGCUGGAUUGGAAGUGGAGCAGCCAGGACAUGAACCAGUGUCCAUAUAGGAUGCUAGCAUCAUAGGCAGCAUCUUCACCUGCUAUGCCACAAUGCCAGCCCUAGUCCUGAUAUUUCUGAUACUCACCAACUUAAAGCCUUUCAGAUAAGCUGUGAUUAUCCCCAAAACAGAAAACCACAUGCAGUAGAGAAAAUGGAGACACCCCAUCUGAGGUGCAUUCUUGGAAAGAAAGACGUGGCAAGACAGUGAGGGACAGCAGAGGUGUGUCUGUGCCUAAGGAAGAGGAAUAUUUGCUCUGGAUACCCCAAAGCACGAAUAGUGUUCCAGGUAGAUACUUGAGUGAGAUGAUCUACGUAAAAGACCUGCAAAUAAAAUACUCAAAAAAUGAAAACUCUGGUUACCAUCUUGUUUAUGGGAGAAAGAGUGGUGCUACUAUAAAAAUAAGCUUCCUUGCCUCCCAUUCCCCCAUCUGAGUCUGGCUUCACAGACAGAUGUCCCUGUUAAUAGGUGAUAGUUUCUGUGAGAACCUACCAUGCCAUAUUAAUGAAAUGGGCUUGACAUUAUACUCAAUGAACUAAUAUUUAUUCUGUUAACUUCCCUGUGCUUUUGAUUGGUAUAUUCCAACUUCCCUAGAGCAGUGGAGAGCAAUGAACUUGAGUCAAGUUAACAACCUGUAGUCCCUCAACUGGGCACCUGCACUGUGGAAGCAUCAGGAGAAAGAUGGCUCUGAGACGCAUCCAGGAAAUAUAAGCCAGUGCCUUAAAGAACAUGGACAGUGUACAAUCAGAUCACAGGAUGCUAAAAGCAGAAUUUUCAACAACAAGGGAAGCAAAAUAAAUUUUAAUUUUUGAUUGAAGCUUUGGUUUCUUUGGAAAACCAGCUAAAUUCCCAACUCUUAUUAGUUAGGUAUAAAUUGGGUUUAAGGUGCUACUGCAUGUGUGAAACGGGGUUCUGCAGGAAAUGAGGCAUGAUGAAGGUCCUCACAUGCUUUUACUCCUUUCCAUGUUUUACCACUUCACUAAAGAACUUGGUGUUUUACAAAUGCACGUUCCUUUGGAGGACUGUGGUUGUUUUAACUGAACAGAAAUCUGACAGUGUGCCUGCAAUGACUUCUGCCUUUCAUGUCUGUUAUUCCCUCUCCGGCCUCUGCAAACUUCCUGGAGCUUCCUGGAAGCACGGCUCACCUCCUACCUCCCCCACCUCUGCCCUAAACCCCUAUUGUUUGGCAUUUACUCCAUCAUUUUACUGAGUGUUUUUCUCAAGACAUUCCUGGGUUUUUAUUGGCCAUACCUUGUCUUCUUCCCAAGGCUCACCUUCUUAGUUUGUUGCAUCAGACUUGUGGAAACACUUUAAACUCAGGUUUCUCUCUACCCUUAACAUCUUAACUCCAUACAAUCUUAUCUCUGCAUCUUCUCCAGUUAAAUCCUCUGCUCCUUAUUGGUUUUUCUUCCUUUGAAUCUUAAAAGCUCACUACUCUGAGUUUCUUGUUUUUUUCAUCCAUUAUUUACUUAUUUCCUUGUUAACCUCAAUGAAUUCCUAUGACUUCAACUCUAUCAAUUCUAGGCAGACAUCUUUCGUAUCUAUUCUCUAGCUUUGCUUUCUACUAACUUCCUAACUUAUAUUCUAAACUUCCUACGAGGCACUGAUGUUUUAAACUAUAACAAACUCUAAAGUAUUGAAAAUUUGAGGAAGAAAAUUUGGACAUUCCAAUAAAAUCAUAUUAAGAAUUUUGAAGUUGACUGGAGGUGGUGAUGUAGGAGAAGGGCUAGCCAGAUAUAACCUCGCUAUGUCAUGUCUGAGUGGUGGAGGUGACCUUAUGAAAUCUUACCUUUGGCCCUCUCCUCUGGUUCUGUGAGUCUCAUCUGUGUUUUUUCCUAAGACUUUUUAAUUUUUAAUUUAACAGUAGUAAUUGUAUGUAUUUAAGAGAUAGUUCAAUACACUACAGAGGAUCACACCAGAACCAUUGGCAUAUGCCUCAUCUGAGACAUUUAUCAUUUCUCUGCAUUGGGUACUCACAAAAUUCUCUCUACCAACUACUUUGAAAUAGACAACUAAUUGCAGUCAACCAUGCUUAUUCUACUGCACUGUAGAACUUCAGAAGUUAUUUUUCCUUUGCAGUCAUGUCCCUGUAUUCAUUAAGCAUGCUUUCUCCAUCUCCCUCAUCCCACAUGGAUCUCAGGCUUUGGAUUAUCACAGCACUAUCCUCAAUUGUCAAGCUAUGGAACCAACAAUGGUGUCUAUCAACAGGUGAAUGCUUACAGAAAAUGUGGCAUUUAUAGAUACGCAAUGGAAAGAAGGAAAUUCUGUAAUUUGCAGCAACAGGGACAGAACUGGAGGACAUUAUGUUAAGUUGUGAAAUAAGCCAGGCACAGAAAGACAAAUACUGCAGGAUCUCACUCACGUGUGGAAGCGAAAUGUUGAACUCAUAGAAGCAGAGAGACUCAUCUCUUUCUUCGAGCUCUCAUCAGCUCCUUGAUUUCAACCUCUGAGCAGAUGAUCCAAGUGCUCUCUCUAGACACGAUCGCCACGUCCAUGGAGGACUUGCCUCCUGGCCACUCCUGCUUAUCUUCUGGCUCUUUACAUUCCAUACAUCAAAAAUGAAACACAACCUUCCUCCCCAAAUUGCAUUUCUUCUUAAUAUUUACUUGUGUGAGUGGCCAUAUGACAAUUAUAAUGGCCCAAGUUUGAUACCGCAGUCCAUCUCUUUUCACUCUCAUGUAAGCCUCCUAUGCAUGUCAAGUCCUGGCUGGUGUUUGUGGGCUUGAGCUGUGUACGAUUCCUUAUGUCUCCUUCCUCUUCCACAGUUUCCAGGGUCACCUUUUCGGCUUGCACCCCUUGUGGUGAAUGAGGUUAUUGCUCAGGCAACUCAUGCUCUCUUGCCCAUUUCCAUCAGAGAGGUGGACAUCCCCAGUGUGUGCAUAUUGAGCUUGACCAGACAACUUGUUAGCCAAGGGGGUGGGGGCAGGUCGGAUGCAACACUCGGAUGGACUGAUGCCCGCCAGUUUCUGUCCUUGCCUGGAGAAGAUCGUGUCAGUAUGGGCCCACUGGUUCUAGGAGGGGAUGUGAGCCCCAUGGAAGUCUAGGUCAACUGACUCCCAACCAACCUCAAGGUCUGUGGCCCAAAAGAGGCUCACCCGUGUUUGUCACCAUAAAAUUAGGAACUUUCUCAAAUCAUGUUAGAGUCCUUAGAAAAUUGUGUUCUUUCAUUUCAUUAAUCAUUUUUUAUGUUUUUACAUUUGCUACUUUCAGUUUAGAAGUAACUACACUGGGGCCAGCAUUGUGGACCUCAGCAGGUAAAGCCGCCGCCCAUAAUGCCGGCAUCUCCUAUGUGCACAGGUUUGAGUCCCGGCUGUUCCACUUCUGAUCCAGCUCCCUGCUGAUAUGCCUUGGAAAGUAGCAGAGGAUGGCCUGAGUGCUUGAGCCCCUGCACCCAGGUGGGAGACCUGGAAGAAGCUCUAGGUACCUGGCUUCAGACUGGCCCAGCUCCAGCCAUGGCGGCCAUUCAGGGAGUGAAUCAGCAGAUAGAGGAUCUCUCUCUCUCUCUCUCCCUCUCUCUCUGAAAACUCUGCCUUUCAAAAAAUAAAUCUUUCUAAAAAGAGGGUUUUACUUAAAAAAGAAGUAAAUACACAGUGUACUUUUAAUCUAAAUGUUUUAGACAGCAAAAUUCCCAUGAGAACUCUAUGCUUAUAGUGAGUUUUAGCAGGAAAAUGUGUCAUGACUUAUGGCAUUCCUUGGGAGUUCUGAAGGAGGCAUUCCACCCAGAACUAGGUGUCAUGAGCGCAUCAGGAUUAAGAAAUAAAGUUUAAAAGUGAAAGGUAGUGGUUGGAGUAACCAGUGUUAAACAACCCCAGAAUGUCUACACUGUCCAACCCACUCCUCCUAUGGUCCAUGAACUGGCAAAUGCUUAUUGUGUGCUCUGGUGAAAGCUCUUGGGACAUUAGAAAUGUCAAGGACAUGUUUUCUAGAUGAGUUAUGUCAGUGAGCUGGUGCCUUUUCCUUACCAGUGAUUCACCAAACACAUCACUGGACACAUUGUUUAAUUACAGCAGGACUUAGCAUGCUUUAGGAAAUCAUCUGAGUCUUAGAAAAUUGGAGCAAAUGACUCACUUCCUAAGAGAGAAUGUGGAGGUCAGACUGGUACCAGGGAGGGUGAAACCAUUGCCUGUAAGGCAUCUGCAGUCCCAGCUCCCUCCCCAUAAUCCCACAGCUGACGAGGUGCCAUCUUGACCUGGCACUACGCUGCAUCUGCCCUUCGACUUUGUCACAUGCAGUGCUGAACCGGAGAAGACGUAGUGGAAUCCAAAGUGGGAUAUAACCAAAUCACUGUGGCUCAUUCUCAUAAGCCGUGGGAAAAGACAGGAUUAUAAACGAAUGGUUUUAUAACCACUCGCUGAGUGUUCUGCACAUCAUGUCAGCUUUGAUUACUGCGCAAAAAUAAAAAUGCCUGCUUCUGUGUUGUGGACUCGCCAGCCUUGCUCCAUGGUAGGAAACGGUCAUAUGCUAGGAUAUGUGUGUUUCCAUACAAAAAUGUUCGGGGUGGCUUAUUAAAUUGUGUCAUUCUGGGAUACACAGUAACAUUAAGUGACUCUCUUUAACACAAAUGCACACACACACACACAUACACAAACCAGAUUGCAUAAAUGUGUAACUUUAUAUUUCUGUCACUAUUAUUAGUAAAUAGGAAAUGAAGUUACAAUCCUUGAAAUUAUAAUGGCAAGUGCACAAAGACACAGUUGCUGGCACAGAAUUCAAUUAACAGAUAGCAAUCACCCUUGGGUGACUGUGUGAGGUAGAAAUAUACAGGCAUGCUAAUAAGUAAUAUCUUAAAGCCACCGCCUUUAUCAGCCAGCAGCCAGACACGGGCACAAGUGUGGGCAGACAGCAUUGCUUCAGGAUAUUUAAUACAAGCCAGCUCUCUCCAUUUAAGGAUUUGUGUUUAAUCAUUCAGCAGCAUUUUAAAACAUCCCGGCUGGCAAGCUUUUCAAACAGAACUGUUUCCGGCAGAAGACUGCAAGGAGUAAUUUUGCUCCACCUGGUUGAGAAAGAUGGGAGGGGCGGGAAUGAGAAGUUGAGGAAUAAUCACCCUGCGUUUGUAUUUUUAAAUGCUUUUCCUUGUCAUUUUCUGACCUUUGAGCCACUCUGGUGUGCAUCUGCUGGGUGAAUCAUGGCUUCAUCUAAGGAAAUGUACAGAAGGCAUUCAUUAACGCAAGAUGGCUGGAUGACUGACUUCUGCAAAACCACCCCUUCUCUGAGACAGGCUGAGCAACGCUUGCAGCCACGUUGUUCCAGGUUGGAAUUCUAGUUAAAGGGGAGCACAAGGGGGUGUUCAGAAAUUGGAGGCUGUUUUCCUCCCUUAGCUUCCAGAAAGGUGGAGAUAUUUCUGCAUUUGGUCGCAGAAAUCUCUCAAGUAUCUGUCAAGAUACUUUGUGUUGAGUACAAGCAAAGAGAAAAAGAAGAUGGCUGUGCAGUGAGAUUUGGUGUAAGCUUUGUGGGGAGUGGGAAUUUAUCCAAAGAAUGCAACUCCUUGCCUUUUACACAAAGGGAAUUUGUCUUCUAUUGAAGUAAACUGGAAGCCAUACUUGCAGUGCCAAGAUGAAAAUCCUCAUCACACAGACUGGUUCAAGAACAGCUAGUCUGCUGGCAUCUAGGUCAGUCAAUUUGCACGGAGGUGUUGUGUCAUGUUUGCUACAAACAGAUGCCUGGGGGAAUCUGACUGCCAAGCAGAUGGCAGCGUUGGGAGAGUGUCUUCUCCAUUUGGUGCCUUGACUCAAUCAAACCUCCUGGAAAGCCCUUAGUUCUAUAAAGCACGGAAGGAGGGAGGAGAAGGAAGAUGAGAACAAAACAAGAGCUUGGCUGAAGGUGCAACUAAGUAAGGUGUGAGUAGAUUUCACUUUAACUGCCAUUUUCAAGUACGUAGAUCCUUUUGACUAUUUCUCCUUCAGGUUCAAGCUUUGAGGUUUUCAAAGUAAGAAAAGAGAUGGAACAAAAAGCAUAAUAGAAGCUGUUGUUGAGUCCAGAAAUUGAAUGCUUCUUAGCUACUGGAAUUUUAAGCAUGCAGAUUUUUUUCUGGAGUAUGAAAAUGGCACUGCUAGUCUGAGAUUGAAGUGCCAUUUGCAGUUUCCAGCAUUAACUGACCAAGAGUCGGCUUUUGGGGAUCAAGACUGUGCUCCCUGCUGGACUGUUCAGUGACCACACCCUCCCGGCAAGAUCUGAACUGUGGUCUUAGGAGGCUGCCCUCUUGACAAAGUCCCCAUGCAAUUACCCUUGGAGGAGAACCUUCUCUGCAACAAAAGGGCCGUUUGUUUCCAUGGGGAGGCUAGGAAGACAGUGCCAACAUUUCAGCCCAGCUUCUGUGGUUUCUCUUCUGUAGGGUAACUCUGGCUGCACAGGCCUGGAGUCACUUCACUGAUCUCGAGAAGGAUCGACUGUGGCCAGAUUUGCAAACAACAGAAUCUCUUAGAUUUCCAUCUACAGCUUCACAGAGAAUGGUGUGGACAGUAGAGUGGACGUUCUCUGAGAGUCAGCUGGGGACUUGGGUGUUUGGGUGCAAGAUGAGCCUUCAAGUCCUCUAAAGAAAAGGUGCAGGAGUUCCUACGGACUUUGCCCAUUUCCUCAAUGUUUAUUAACCUUGGCUACAUCCAGAACUGUGCAUUCCUUUCAAGUCUCAUUGCAAUAGACCCUUUACUAAAUUUCUAUCCUUCUUGAAAGAAACAACAGUUGGUGUGGGGUCAAGACAUAGAAAUUGUGAAAUACAGGAAAGAAACAAAUACUUCUGCUUGUUAAAGAGUUAGCCUGCGGGCUGGAGUUGUGGUGCAGCAGGCUGCUCCCUAGCCUUGGAUGGCAGCAUCACAUAGGAGCACCAGUUUGAGCUCCAGCUGCUUUGAUUCCGACCCAGCUCCCUGCUAAUCCACCUGUAAAAGUAGCAGAAGGUGGCCCAAGUGCUUAGGGGUGCUGCCACCCACAUGGGAGAUGGAGUUCCUGUCUCUUGGUUUUAACUUGUCCAUUCCUGGCCAUUGUGGCCAUUUGGGGAAUGACCAGUGGACAGAAGAUCUUUCUCUCUCUCUCUCUCUCUCUCUCUCUCUCUGUGUGUGUGUGUGUUUAUCCCUCUGACUCUGUUAUCUGUCUUUCAAAUAAAUAAAAUAAAUCUUAAAAAAUAAGUCAUUAUCAAGGCUUUUCAAGAUGCAUAAAUACAGGCACUCAACACUCACCUCCUCCUGCACAGAGAAGAACCAAAACAACAAGCAACCAGGUGCAUUUUGAAAUGAAGAGGAAGAGAAAAACUGGGUGAGGAGUUAUGGGAUGGACAUGGAAGGAGAGGAACAAAGCCAGCCAGCAUCCGCGGCCCCCGUCCUGGCCCCAUGGAAGGGGAAUUCAUAUUGCAAGGGUGGGUGAAGAGGAGAGCCUCCGUGGAACUCACCUCAGUGAACCCCGUGCUGACCACCGUGGCCAGAGGAGCUCACAGUCCUCAGAGAAGGGAAUCCCAGAAGGGGGUGCCUGGCGUUGGACUCCGGGUAGACUGGCUUCAGAGAAGGCACUCUCCUCAUCUCUCCCUCAUCAACUGACGCUGCGGCUGCACCAAUGUUCUGCUUUUUUAAACUGAAUUUCUUAAAAAAAUUUCAAGAUGUAACAAUAAUUGUAUAUAUUUAUGGGUUGCUGUGUGACAUCGCCAUGCGUGUCUCCAUCAGGAUAGUCAACAUUGCCCUGUCUUUGACAUCAUGUUAUGAUUGGAAACUUGGAGCUCUUUUCUUCUUUUUGCUCAUAAAACGUAGGCUAGGCUAUGUUGAGCUAUCACUGCCCGGCUGUGUGACUCUGCAGCAGAACACCCGUUGCUUUGAUCUAACUCUGAUUCUGGUGUUCAUGACCCGAAUUCCCUCUGCUCUCUUCUUCCCUUUCCAGCCUGUAGUAAUCACUAUUCAGUAUUCAGAUAUAUGUUUUUUUUUAUUUGCACAUAUGAGAGAGAACAUGUGGUGUUUGUCUUCCUGUGUAUGACUUAUUUCACUUACGAUGCCCCCCAGUUUCACUAAUUUUGCGGCAAAUUACAGUAGUUCACUAUUUUGAUAGCUUAAUAUCAUCCCACUGUGUGUGUGUGUGGGGGGGGGUGUCUCAUUUUCCUUAGCUCGUCAUCUGCUGGUGAACACCUAGUUUGGCUGCCCGUGUUGGCUGCUGUGAACAGCAGUGAGCGCGGCAGAGCUGAUUUCUGUUGCAUGUGGUCAACUGAUUUUUGACACAGACCUGAAGGAAUACAUUGGAGACAGGACAGUCUUUUCAAGAAAUGGUGUGGGCAAAACUGGAUUGACAUAAAUAGAGAUUUAGAAGAAUGAAAUAGAUCCUUACCUCUCGUGAUACACAAAAUUCAACUCAAGUUGACCAAAGACCUAAAUAUGAGACCUGAAAUCACUACAAGGAAAAAUCAGGGGGGCGGACGGUGCUGUGGUCUAGCAGGUAAAGCCUCUACCUGCAGUGCUGGCGUUCUAUACGGGUGCCAGUUCGAGUUCCGGCUGCUCCACUCCCAAUCUAGCUCUCUGCUAUGACCUGGGAAAGCAGUAAAAGAUGGCCCAAGUCCUUAGGUCCCUGCACCCACAUGGGAGACCUGGAAGAAGUUCCUGGCUCCUGGCUUUGGAUUUUCUCAGCUGCGGCUGUUGCAGCCAUCUGGGUAGUGAACCAGUGGAUGGAAGACCUCUCUCUCUCUCUCUCUGCCUCUGCCACUCUGUAUCUUUGCCUUUCAAAUAAAUAAAUAAAUCUUUUCUUUUUAAAAAGAAAACAUAAGGGAAACACCCCAAGACAUUGAGGAGGCAAUUGCUUUUUUUGGCUAAGACCCCAAUAGCACAGGCAACAGAAACAAAGCUAGACAAGCAGCAUUAUAUCAGAAUCAGAAGCCGCUGCAGAGCAGGGCAAGCAGACAGCAGUGUUGGUAUCUUGAGAAAGGAGUCACUCUCAGAAUCCAUACUGCCUUAGUGGACAGAAUCCAUGCUUAUGUCCAUCUGGGGAUCCCACAGACAUCCCACCACAUUAGCGAAAAAGAAGCACAGCCUUGCAAAUCCAAGUAGACCCAGUAGAGCAGCGGCACCUUCAACACUUUAGUCCCUGUGUGCUGCACACUACAAGGGACAGAGCAUACGGAAUAGCACGGAGGUGCUACCCUCAGCAUCCUACAAAUAAGGGGACUUCCCUCUUCAGGCUUGGGAUGCAGCCUCCUCCACUCCCUCUCUUCUCUUCAACUCCCUGGAGCUUAGUUGCCCCCCCACCCCCCCCACACCCAGACUCCUGGAAAGAGCUUCCUUGACUCCAGCCCAGACCUCCACCCAGUAGCACUCAGGACUGUGCUCAUACUGAUCUGCCCAUCAGUGUUGCUCCCAUGGCUCUGACGCCACAGACGGUGACUGGAAGACCAUAAUCCCAGCCUAACCUGCUUCCCAGUGUCACUCCCAUGCUCUUGGCUAUUUGAUCGGAUGCUGGUAUUGUAUGCCACAGAGGAUGGAAUCUGAGAAAUCCUGCUCUAUCUCAGGUACACCCCACACCCCCACGACUACCAUCAAUAAUGGCAAAAGAAGGUGUAGGAGAAAUACACCACAGAGUCCAAUUGCAAGUAAGGCAAAGUAGCCACAAACCAAGACCUGAAGACAUAUCUUAAAAAAAAUCUUCUAGCACUAGAACCACUAUUCCACAGUGAUAAAGACAAAUGAUUCAUCAGAUGAGGAAGAGUAUAAGAACACAAGUGUAAGUAAGUAUGAGAAAAACAAGACAAUAUGAUGCCUCCAAAUGAAGACAUUAUAAACACAUUGUAUUUUAGUAACAGACCCCAGUGAAAAGGAGACUGAAAAUGUUAAAUAAAGAAUUCAAAAGGAUGUAUACUCUAAGAUAUACAAGAGAAUACAAACUAAUAGUAGAAUGAAGUCAGGAAAACUAUGGAUGAUGCAAAUAAGACAUUCAGCAAAAAGAUAGAGAUCUUGAAAAAAGACCAAACAGAAAUCUUGGAUAUGAAGAACACAAUAAAUAAAAUAAAAAUGUAGUUGAAAUCCCUGAGAACAGAGUAGAUCAAACAGAAGAAAAAAUAUCAGGAAAGAGAUUUUAAUACCAUAAUAGUGAAGAUGUUCAAUAUCCCACUUCGAUAAUGGACAUGUUACCUAGAAAAAAAUUACAGGAAUGUUGGAGAUAGACUAUGCUAUAGAUCAAAUUGAUCUUACAGACACUUCUGCAACAUUUCAUCAACAGUUGCAAAAUACACAUUCUUCUCAUCAGCACAUGGAACAGUCUAUACUGGAUCAUAUUUAAAGCCACAGAAGAAAUCUCAAUGAACUAAAAAAGCCAAAAUCAUAUUAUAGAAUUUUCUGAGCGUAAUGAAGUUAAACUAGAAAUCCACCACAACAAAAAUGUUAGUUAUUAGACAAAUACAAGGAGACUGAAUGACAUGCUUCUGUAUAAGCUACGGAUUACUGAAAAAAUCAAAAGGAAAAGUAACAUUUUAAAAACAAAUUAAAUGGAAAUAAAAUAUACAACAUAUCAAAAGUUAGAGGAUAUAGCAAAAGCAAUACCAAGAGGGAGUUUCAUAGCAAUAAGUGUCUACAUACGAAAAAUAGAAAGAUUUCAAAGACAACCGAAUGAAAAACCUCAGAGAACUAGAAAAGCAAGGACAAUCAAAUGCAAAAUUAGUAGAAGGAAAUAAAUGACAAUGGUCAGAGCAGAAAUAAAUAAAAUAGAGGCUAAAACAACAAUAACAAGAUCAAUAAAGAGUUGAUUUUUUGAAAAUAUAAAUAAAAUUAAAAAACCUUUAGCUGGAAUGAGCAAGAAAGGGAUAGAGAAGACUGAAAUCAGUAAAAUCAGAGACAAAAAAGGAAAGAUCAAAACUGAUACCACAGAAGUUCAAAGCAAUCAUUAAGGACUGUUGUGAACAAUUUCACAACAACAGACUGGAAGAAAUGGGCAAAUUUCUGGAUACAUAAAAGUGACAAAAUUGAACCAAGAAUACUAGAAAAUCUGAACACAGCAAUAAGAAGUGAUGAGAUUGGGUCAGUAUUAAAACAUCUCCCUGAAAAUAAAAACCCAGGAGUAAAAGAGUUUUCUGCUGUUUUACCAUACUUUUUAGGAUAAUUUUUUUAACUUUUAUUUAAUGAAUAUAAAUUUCCAAAGUACAGCUUAUGGAUUACAAUGGCUUCCCCCCCAUGACGUCCCUCCCACCCACAACCCUCCCCCUUUCCACUCCCUCUCCCCUUCCAUUCACAUCAAGAUUCAUUUUCGAUUCUCUUUAUAUACAGAAGAUCAGUUUAGCAUACAUUAAGUAAAGAUUUCAACAGUUUACUCCCACACAGAAACAUAAAGUGAAAAAUACUGUUUGAGUACUAGUUAUAGCAUUAAAUCUCAAUGUACAGCACACUAAGGACAAGAUCCUACAUGAGGAGUAAGUGCACAGUGACUCCUGUUGUUGACUUAACAAAUUGACACUCUUGUUUAUGGCAUCAGUAAUCACCCUAGGCUCUAGUCAUGAGUUACCAAGGCUAUGGAAGCCUUUUGGGUUCGCCAACUUCAAUCUUAUUCCAACAGGGUCAUAGUCAAAG